rnacentral:lncRNA from 1 species
UUUAUUAUUUUUUUAAAAUUUUAAUCACAAAUUAUAUUUUCUAAAACUAAAAAUUUAUUCUUACUCUUAUUUACAACGUUAAACUGUUAUUUAUAAGGAAAAACUUCAAAAACCACCCCUGUGGUUUCAUAGUUUCUCACUUUGCCCCCUUGUGAUUUAAAAUGUAUUAAUUUGCCCCCAUGUGGUUUCUUUUCUCUUUUUCUUAUCAAUUUCAUUAUUUUUUUUUCUUAAAUCAGUGAUAAAGUUAAAAUUAAAGGGUACUAAAGUGAAUAUUUGAUAAAUCUAGAUGGGUAUCUGAAGUUUUUUGUAUAUAAUUUAAUAAAAUAUUAACAAAAAAAGCUAUUGGAAAGAUAAAAACGAAACCACAGGGGGAGCAAUUUGAUACAUUUUAAACCACAUGGGGGCAAAGUGAGAAACUACGAAACCAUAGGGGAGGUUUUUGAAGUUUUCCCUAUUUAUAAUAUACCCUUCAAAACUUCAAAAAAUAUUUUAUUUAUUCCUGAAAAAUAUUAUGAUAAUUUCAAAAGAAAUUUAAAAAUUUUGAAUAAGAUUAGUACCUUAUGGUUUAGAAUGUAUCACUUAAAUAUCAUGUAGUUUUAUUUUUCUGUUUUCGUUAUUACCCCCGUUAAUUUUUUCGUUCAAUCAGUAACAAAGUUAAAACCACAGAAUAUUAAAGUAAAAAUUUGGCAAGCCACAAGAUAAUUAAUAAAGUGAAUAUUCGACAAACCAUAGAUGGGGUAUCAAAAUUUUUCUGUUUAUGAUUUAACAGAGAGUUCACGGAGAUGCUGACAGAAAAAGAAAAAUGAAACUGCGGAAUACCAAAGUGAUAUAUUUUAAACUAGGAAGUAGUAAACUGAGAAAGCACGAAUCCACGGAAAUAAUAUUUGAAGUUUAUCCAAAAAAUAUUACAA